rnacentral:rRNA from 1 species
GUUGUAACGGGUAACGGAGAAUAAGGGUUCGACUCCGGAGAGGGAGCCUGAGAAACGGCUACCACAUCCAAGGAAGGCAGCAGGCGCGCAAAUUACCCACUCUCAGAAUGAGGAGGUAGUGACGAAAAAUAACGAGACCGUUCUCUUUGAGGCCGGUUAUCGGAAUGGGUACAAUUUAAACCUGUUAACGAGGAUCUAUGAGAGGGCAAGUCUGGUGCCAGCAGCCGCGGUAAUUCCAGCUCUCAAAGUGUAUAUCGUCAUUGCUGCGGUUAAAAAGCUCGUAGUUGGAUCUGCGUCUCAGGACCCGGUCCAUCCAUUGGAUGAGAACUGGGCUCCUAGGCUAAUAUUGCGAGUUUUCCAUACGUUACCUUGAUCGGUUGCGUAUGGUGGCUAGCAAGUUUACCUUGAAAAAAUUAGAGUGCUCAACGCGGGCUAAUGCCUGAAUACUCGUGCAUGGAAUAAUGGAAUAGGAUCUCGGUUCUAUUUUGUUGGUUUUCUGAUCUGAGAUAAUGGUUAAGAGGGACGGACGGGGGCAUUCGUAUCGCUGCGUGAGAGG